rnacentral:lncRNA from 1 species
UAUGACAGUUACGGGAAUCGUGAGGGCAUUGUGGACAGGGCGAAAGAUGCGGUAGGGAUGGGUCCGAAUUCAGGAACUGGCUACAACAACCAGCCUGGAUACGACAAUUACGGUGACCGAAGGCAUGAAGGAUUGGCAGACAGAGCGAAGGAUGCUGUAGGUAUGGGGCCUAACUCAGGUUACAACCACCAGCCUGGAUAUGACAACUACGGCAAUCGUGAGGGCGUUGUGGACAAGGCGAAGGAUGCGGUAGGCAUGGGUCCGAAUUCAGGAACUGGCUACAACAACCAGCCUGGUUAUGACAGUUAUGGUACCCGGAGACAGGAAGGAUUGGUAGAUAGAGCAAAGGAUGCCGUCGGCAUGGGCCCCAAUUCGGGCACCGGCUAUAACAAUCAGCCCGGAUAUGACAACUACGGUAACCCAAGACGCGAAGGAGUGGUAGACAGGGCGAAGGAUGCUGUAGGUAUGGGGCCUAACUCAGGUUACAACAAUCAGCCCGGAUAUGACAACUACGGCAAUCGUGAGGGCAUUGUGGACAAAGCCAAGGAUGCAGUCGGUGUUGGCCCCCACUCGGGUACUGGCUACCACAACCAGCCC